AUUGAACGCUGGCGGCAUGCUUUACACAUGCAAGUCGAACGGUAACAGGCCGCAAGGUGCUGACGAGUGGCGAACGGGUGAGUAAUGCAUCGGAACGUGCCCAGUCGUGGGGGAUAACGCAGCGAAAGCUGCGCUAAUACCGCAUACGAUCUCUGGAUGAAAGCGGGGGACCGAAAGGCCUCGCGCGAUUGGAGCGGCCGAUGUCAGAUUAGGUAGUUGGUGGGGUAAAGGCCCACCAAGCCAACGAUCUGUAGCUGGUCUGAGAGGACGACCAGCCACACUGGGACUGAGACACGGCCCAGACUCCUACGGGAGGCAGCAGUGGGGAAUUUUGGACAAUGGGCGCAAGCCUGAUCCAGCAAUGCCGCGUGCAGGAAGAAGGCCUUCGGGUUGUAAACUGCUUUUGUACGGAACGAAACGGCUCUGGUUAAUACCUGGGGCUAAUGACGGUACUGUAAGAAUAAGCACCGGCUAACUACGUGCCAGCCGCCGCCGUAA
rnacentral:rRNA from 1 species